rnacentral:rRNA from 1 species
UACGUAGGUGGCAUGCGGUGUCCGGAAUUAUUGGGCGUAAAGCGCGCGCGGGUGGUCCUUUAAGUCUGAUGUGAAAGCCCACGGCUCAACCGUGGAGGGUCAUUGGAAACUGGGGGACUUGAGUGCAGAAGAGGAAAGUGGAAUUCCAAGUGUAGCGGUGAAAUGCGUAGAGAUUUGGAGGAACACCAGUGGCGAAGGCGCCUUUCUGUUCUGUAACUUACACUGAGGCGCGAAAGCUUGUGGAGCAAACAGG